rnacentral:rRNA from 1 species
CCUACGGGAAGGCAGCAGGGGGGAAUAUUCGACAAUGGGCGCAAGCCUGAUCCAGCCAUACCGCGUGGGUGAAGAAGGCCUUCGGGUUGUAAAGCCCUUUUGUUGGGAAAGAAAUCCAGCCGGCUAAUACCUGGUUGGGAUGACGGUACCCAAAGAAUAAGCACCGGCUAACUUCGUGCCAGCAGCCGCGGUAAUACGAAGGGUGCAAGCGUUACUCGGAAUUACUGGGCGUAAAGCGUGCGUAGGUGGUUAUUUAAGUCCGUUGUGAAAGCCCUGGGCUCAACCUGGGAACUGCAGUGGAUACUGGAUGUCUAGAAUGUGGUAGAGGGUAGCGGAAUUCCUGGUGUAGCAGUGAAAUGCGUAGAGAUCAGGAGGAACAUCCAUGGCGAAGGCAGCUACCUGGACCAACAUUGACACUGAGGCACGAAAAACGUGGGGAGCAAACAGGAUUAGAUAACCUGGUAGUACACGCCCUAAAACGAUGCGAACUGGAUGUUGGGUGCAAUUUGGCACUCAGUAUCGCAGCUAAGCGCAAUUAA